UACGAAGGGGGCGAGCGUUAUUCGGAAUCACUGGGCGUAAAGCGUGCGUAGGCUGCCUAGCAAGUUGGGAGUGAAAGCCCAGGGCUCAACCCUGGAAUUGCUCUCAAAACUGCAAGGCUCGAAUCUCGGAGAGGAUAGCGGAAUUGUCAGUGUAGCAGUGAAAUGCGUAGAUAUUGACAGGAACACCAGUGGCGUAAGCGGCUAUCUGGACGAGUAUUGACGCUGAGGCACGAAAGCGUGGGGAUCAAACAGG
rnacentral:rRNA from 1 species